rnacentral:rRNA from 1 species
AUUGAACGCUGGCGGCAGGCCUAACACAUGCAAGUCGAGCGGAUGAAGGGAGCUUGCUCCUGGAUUCAGCGGCGGACGGGUGAGUAAUGCCUAGGAAUCUGCCUGGUAGUGGGGGAUAAUGUCCGGAAACGGGCGCUAAUACCGCAUACGUCCUGAGGCAGAAAGUGGGGGAUCUUCGGACCUCACGCUAUCAGAUGAGCCUAGGUCGGAUUAGCUAGUUGGUGGGGUAAAGGCCUACCAAGGCGACGAUCCGUAACUGGUCUGAGAGGAUGAUCAGUCACACUGGAACUGAGACACGGUCCAGACUCCUACGGGAGGCAGCAGUGGGGAAUAUUGGACAAUGGGCGAAAGCCUGAUCCAGCCAGGCCGCGUGUGUGAAGAAGGUCUUCGGAUUGUAAAGCACUUUAAGUUGGGAGGAAGGGCAGUAAGUUAAUACCUUGCUGUUUUGACGUUACCAACAGAAUAAGCACCGGCUAACUUCGUG